GAGAGUCCUCAUUAAUGAAGAGAACUCUCUAGGUUUUAAUUAACACAUCCCUUUUGAAUUAGAAUCCUAAUCAUAAGGGAUGAAAAUCUAUACCCACGUUGGUUCAUGCAUAUUCACUACACACACUUCACCCUCAAUUUUUUGGGACGCCAAUGAUGAGGUGAAUAACGAGUAUGCUGAGAGUCUUCUUACUCAUUGUGAACCUCUAGGAAUCAAAUAAUACAUCUACGGAAUUAGAAUCCUAAUUCGGGGAGGAAGGAAUUUAAUAAAUACAUAACAAAUACAGCCUCAACUCACUUUAGGGCCAUCCCAUUACUUAUGUUCUUGGGAUACCUCGGAAUAGUGAAAUAUCAAACGUUCUUUUAAUAGAUAACAGGAACCAACAUCAUAAUUUUAACCCCAAAAUUAUUGAUAUUAAAUUAUAAAGAGCACAUCGUUAAAUCUACUUGCCCUCAUUGAGGGACGAUGUAAAGUGCCUAACACCUUUCCCACACAUAUAUCCACCCCGAACCUAGAAUCUCUAUUU
rnacentral:misc_RNA from 1 species